GACGAACGCUGGCGGCGUGCUUAACACAUGCAAGUCGAACGGAAAGGCGCUGCUCUUGCGGGGCGCUCGAGUGGGGAAGGGGGGAGUAAAACGUGAGUAACAUGCCCCUGUAUUUGGGAUAACAUCAGGAAACAGGGGAUAAAACCGGAUAGGAGCUCCUGCAGCACGGGGGGGGAUGGAAAGAUUCGGCGGUGGGGGAUGGACUAGCGGCUUAUGAGCUGGUUGGUGGGGUAGUGGCAUACGAAGGCUUUGACGGGUAGCCGGCCUGGGAGCGUGACCGGCCACAUUGGGACUGAGGUACGGCGCAGACUCGUACGGGAGGCAGCAGUGGGGAAUAUUGCACAAUGGGCGGAAGCCUGAUGCAGCGACGCCGCGUGCGGGAUAACGGCCUUCGAGUUGUAAACCGCUUUCGCCUGUGACGAGGCGUGAUUGACGGUAAUGGGUAAGAAAGCACCGGCUAACUACGUG
rnacentral:rRNA from 1 species